UUCUUAGACCUAUGCAAUGAGAUGUUAGGACAACGCUUCAGGGUGGGAACACAGCAGAGUAGCCUAGCUUCUUAUGUGCCUUAGUCAUCUGAGGAGGG
rnacentral:SRP_RNA from 1 species